AUACGGAGGGUGCAAGCGUUGUUCGGAAUCACUGGGCGUAAAGGGCGCGCAGGCGGUUUGGUAAGUCAGAUGUGAAAGCCCACGGCUCAACCGUGGAAGUGCAUUUGAAACUGCCAGACUUGAGUACCAGAGGGGAAAGUGGAAUUCUCGGUGUAGAGGUGAAAUUCGUAGAUAUCGGGAGGAAUACCGGUGGCGAAGGCGACUUUCUGGCUGGAUACUGACGCUGAGGCGCGAAAGCGUGGGGAGCAAACAGGAUUAGAAACCCCAGUAGUCC
rnacentral:rRNA from 1 species